rnacentral:rRNA from 1 species
GACGUAGGGAGCGAGCGUUGUCCGGAUUCAUUGGGCGUAAAGAGCGCGCAGGCGGUUUGGUAAGUCGGAUGUGAAAACCCGGGGCUCAACCCCGGGCGUGCAUCUCGAUACUGCCCGACUAGAGGUAGGUAGGGGAGAUCGGAAUUCCAGGUGUAGCGGUGAAAUGCGUAGAUAUCUGGAGGAAUACCGGUGGCGAAGGCGGCAUCCUGGACCGGCAUUGACGCUGAGGAGCGAAAGCUAGGGGAGCAAACGGGG